rnacentral:rRNA from 1 species
AAAAUGGUUUAUCGAAGGUAGAGCACUGAAUGUGUGAUGGCCCCACCUCGGGGUACUGAGCCCAAUCAAACUACGAAUGUCGGUAAAGUAAGCUAGCAGUCAGACUACGGGUGAUAAGGUUCGUGGUCAAAAGGGAAAGAGCCCAGAUCGCCAGAUAAGGUCCCAAAAUCAAUGCUAAGUGGAAAAGGAAGUAGAGAUGCACAAACAACCAGGAGGUUGGCUUAGAAGCAGCCAUCCUUUAAAGAGUGCGUAAAAGCUCACUGGUCGAGUGACUCUGCGCCGAAAAUGUACCGGGGCUAAGCAUUGUACCGAAGCUGCGGAUUUAAAGUAAAGAAUAUUUUAAGUGGUAGGGGAGCGUUCCCGUUGCGGCGAAGCUAGAUCGUAAGGACUGGUGGAGCGGCGGGAAGUGAGAAUGCCGGUGUGAGUAACGAAAAGACGGGUGAGAAUCCCGUCCGUCAUAAACCCAAGGUUUCCAGGGGAAGGUUCGUCCGCCCUGGGUAAGUCGGGGCCUAAGGUGAGGCUGAAAAGCGUAGCCGAUGGAUAACUAGUAGAGAUUCUAGUACCAGUAUAAUGACUGAUGGAGUGACAAAGAAGGAUAGGCGUCCACCCUAAUUGGAUUGGGUGAGAAGGAUUCGAGGCGAGUACUUAGGCAAAUCCGGGUACUAUUAACGCUAAGAACUGAUAUAAAGACGUACGAGUUCAGGCUUUCAAGAAAAGCUUCUAGGGAUAAUCAUUAGACUGCCCGUACCGUAAACCGACACAGGUGGGUGAGUAGAAUAUAUUAAGACGCGCGAGAAAACUGUUGUUAAGGAACUCGGCAAAUUGACCCCGUAACUUCGGGAAAAGGGGGACUCCUUAUGAAAACGAGGAGUCGCAGAGAAAAGGCCCAAGCGACUGUUUAGCAAAAACACAGGUCUCUGCAAAAUCGUAAGAUGAAGUAUAGAGGCUGACGCUUGCCCGGUGCUGGAAGAUUAAGAGGAGAUGUCAGGGGUUAAACCUAAAGCAUUGAAUUGAAGUCCCAGUAAACGGCGGCCGUAACUAUAACGGUCCUAAGGUAGCGAAAUUCCUUGGCGGGUAAGUUCCGUCCUGCACGAAAAGCGUAACGAUUUGGGCACUGUCUCAACAACAGACUCGGUGAAAUCAAGCUGCCGGUGAAAACGCCGGCUACCCGCGAUUAGACGAAAAGACCCCAUGGAGCUUCACUGUAACUUGAUAUUGAAACUGGGUGUAAGAUGUACAGGAUAGGUGGGACGCGUUGAAGUUAGUACGCUAGUAUUGACGGAGCGGACGUUGGGAUACCACCCUUCGUGCACUUAGUUUCUAACUCGCAGAUGUGGAAUCUGGAGGACAGUGUCUGGUGGGCAGUUUGACUGGGGCGGUCGCCUCCCAAAGAGUAACGGAGGCGCUCGAAGGUUACCUCAGAAUGGUUGGAAAUCAUUCUAAAGAGUGCAAUGGCAGAAGGUAGCUUGACUGCGAGACCUACAAGUCGAGCAGGGACGAAAGUCGGACAUAGUGAUCUUACGGUACCGAAUGGAAGGGCCGUGACUCAACGGAUAAAAGUUACCCUGGGGAUAACAGGCUUAUCGCUUCCAAGCGUUCACAGCGACGAAGCGGUUUGGCACCUCGAUGUCGGCUCGUCGCAUCCUGGAGCUGGAGUAGGUUCCAAGGGUUGGGCUGUUCGCCCAUUAAAGCGGCACGCGAGCUGGGUUCAGAACGUCGUGAGACAGUUCGGUCUCUAUCUAUCGUGGGCGUUGGAGAUUUGAAGGGAGCUGUCCUUAGUAUGAGAAGACCGGGAUGGACGCACCCCUGGUGCACCAGUUAGUACGCCAGUACUACAGCUGGGUAGCUAUGUGCGGAAGGGAUAAACGCUGAAAGCAUCUAAGCGUGAAGCCCACCUUGAGAUGAGAUCUCCCAAUUAGUAAGACCCCUUGAAGACCACAAGGUUGAUAGGCUAGGUGUGUAAGCAUAGUGAUAUGUUCAGCUGACUAGUACUAAUAGGUCGAGGACUUAACCU